rnacentral:piRNA from 1 species
UUGGUGUUACAAAUUGUUCAGGCAAUGGCUU